CGGCCUCAGUUCCCGGGUAGACGUUGCGGGAGGAGGACGUGCCGCUCUCGCUUCCGAACCUUCCAUAUUUAAACCUUCUAAAUCUCGAUACAUAGGGUGGAAUGGACAGGUGUGGUGACCUCAGCGCACCCACACAUGAGGAUGGAAGAAGAGGAGGAGGAGGAGGAGGAAGAAGAGGAGGAAGGACGAGGCUGAGAAAAUAAAGGAAGACCGACAGGAAAGAUUAGAGAAAGUGAGCGAGGAUUGAGCUAACUUUAAUCUGUCCAGCAAGGAGGAAAUGUUAAAGGAAGGACGAGGCUGAGAAAAUAAAGGAAGACUGACAGGAAAGAUUAGAGAAAGUGAGCGAGGAUUGAGCUAACUUUAAUCUGUCCAGCAAGGAGGAAAUGUUAAAGGUACUCUUGUGGUCUCCCUUGGCUGUGAUUGUGUUUGGGAAGCUGUGAAGUGCCCUAGAUGGUUGCAGGUUAUCGGAAGAGGAAGAAGAGGAAUGAAGAAUAGCAUUUAUAUUUUUACUGGGUUAUCGGAAGAGGAAGAAGAGGAAUGAAGAAUAGCAUUUAUAUUUUUACUGGACUUGGAGGAGGAAGAAGAGGAAGACUGAUUUCAAGAGGAGGAGGAGGAGGACUGGUAUGGAGAGGAAGAGGAAGAGAUCUUUAAUGGAAGAAGAUAAGAGGAAGAGGAGGAAGAGGCUGCCAUUGAAAAUUAGAGAUUAAAGAGGAGGAGGAGGAAGAGGCUGUCAUGGAAGAUUAGAGAGAAGGAAGAAGAGGAGGAGGUCAGAGGUCAAAGGAGGUCAAGAUUGUGUGUGACCUGAAUUUGCAAGGUUGUGCUUUUGAGCCGGUCAGUUUGUCAGCCAGUCAGUUUUUCAGCCGGUCAGUCAGUCAGAUGGUUCGUCUUGUGUGUGUUCGUCAGUUCGUCAGCCAGUUAGGUGUGAAGGUGGUGGUUAACGAGCUGACAGGUGUGUGCGCCAGGCGGGUGUGGGCCAGCUGUGUGUGCGCGUGUGUGUUUGUGUUUGUUAGGAAGGUCGUGGGCAGAGAGAAGUGGAUUGUGGGAUGCUUUUGGUGUGGAUUAAGAUGAAUUGUGGAUUUUAGAUUGUGUGCGUGUGUGCGUCUGUGUGUUGCUGCAAGAUGAACGGCAAGGCAAGAGGAGCUUGGGAGACUGCAACACAAAUAGGUGUGGGUGCAGACUGAGAGGAGUUUACAGGAUGAAGUUGAAAAUGAAAGAUGAGGUAGAAGAGGAGGAGGAGGAUGGGAAGAAAAGGAAGAGGAGGAGGAGAGAGAAUAUAAAGAAAGAAUAGUUGGAGAUAAUGCAAAGAGGAGGAAGAGGAGAUAAUCAAAAGAAGAAGAGAAGGAGAAGAUACAAACAAGGAAAUAGAGGAGGAGGAAGAAGAAAGAAGAGGAGGAGGAGGAGGAGGCAAACAAGGAAAUAGAAGAGGAGGAGGAGGAGGAGGAGGAGGAACAAGGUGUGGUGGGACAGGUGUGCAGCAGAGAGAGAGAGAGAGAAAGGAAGAAAGAAAGAAAGUGUGGGGGUGACUGACGUGCAGAUGUAUGGACACACCUGUUUGUUUGUUCAGAUGACCAGGCGUGACACAGGUAUAGGUGAACUCAAUAUAAGAUACUCGAAAAUAAAAGGGUUAAAGAAGAUAUUUUGUUUUUCUUUAGCUUAAGAAAUAAAACGAGAGGGAGAAAGGGGGGUGGUGAUGCAGGCUGUCAUAACUACAAUUAAAAACUAUUAAAUUAUUGAAGGUAAUCGUCUCUAACCCUUUCUUCAUGGCAAGGUGUACUGUAACCCUUCCCUCUAACCCUUUCUUCAUGGCAAGGUGAACUGUAACCCUUCCAUCUAACCCUUUCUUCAUGGCAAGGUGAACUGUAACCCUUCCCUCUAACCCUUUCUUCAUGGCAAGGUGUACUGUAACCCUUCCCUCUAACCCUUUCUUCAUGGCAAGGUGUACAGUAACCCUUCCAUCUAACCCUUUCUUCAUGGCAAGGUGUACUGUAACCCUUCCCUCUAACCCUUUCUUCAUGGCAAGGUGUACUGUAACCCUUCCCUCUAACCCUUUCUUCAUGGCAAGGUGUACUGUAACCCUUCCCUCUAACCCUUUCUUCAUGGCAAGGUGUACUGUAACCCUUCCCUCUAACCCUUUCUUCGUGGCAAGGUGUACUGUAACCCUUCCCUCUAACCCUUUCUUCAUGGCAAGGUGAACUGUAACCCUUCCCUCUAACCCUUUCUUCAUGGCAAGGUGUACUGUAACCCUUCCAUCUAACCCUUUCUUCAUGGCUAGGUGUACUGUAACCCUUUCUUCAUGGCAAGGUGUACUGUAACCCUUCAUGACGCAGGGUUUAGGGGACGGGGGAGGGUAGAGGUCAGUUUUAAGUCCACAUCCACCUUUGAAGUCCACCCUUCCACCUACGAGCUAGUUGUGGUUGAGUUUGGUCUGGUGCCUCGUGUGGUUCGGGGCCUUCACCUGGGUUGUGUUGGUGGUUGUAGGGUAGACUGAAGGUGUAUUGGGAAUGAGUAUUGGUUUCGUAAUUAAAGUAUAUGGUUAUU